UAGCAUAAUAAUUUGUCUUUUAAUUGAAGACUGNAAUGAAGGGCUUAAUGGGAGAUAGCUGUCUUAGAUAAUUAACANAAAAAUUACUAAGAAGGUGAAAAUUCCUUCAACUUACUAAAUAAGACGAGAAGACCCUUAGAAUUAUAAUUAAAAGUCUAAUAGACGUGAAAUUUUUGUUGGGGCAACAGGAUCAGAGGUUCUUAAACUGAUUUUGAUAUAAGUUAAUGAGUUAAAAAAUAUUUAAAAAGAAUUUAAUUACCUGAGGGAUAACAGCAUUAUUCAAAUAUGAGAAUAUGACCUCGAUGUUGGACUAGGGACUUUUUUGGUUAGAAAUUAAGGAAGAUAGUUCUGUUCGAACUUUUAAACCCUACGUG
rnacentral:rRNA from 1 species